AUUUUUGGAGAGGAAGGGAAAUUUUCUGAGAUAGGUUGUCUUCAAUUGAGUCAAAAAGUGCAUUGGUUGGGAAUGAGCCAAAAAAUGAAGGGUUAUUGUCUGCUUCAUCCUCCUCACAUGGCAAGCUGCUGAAGAUUGUAAUGCAAAAAUACAUAAGGAGCUAUCCAAAUGACUAAAAGCCUUUUUGGUGAUAGCCUCUGGAGACCCAAAUUUUCUUCAUAGUGUUUCAGUCUUAAAUGCAACGUAAUCUAUGAUGUUUGCUUGUAAGAGAGGUGCUGCAUGUUUAUUUGAAGAGUAUAGUACUCAAACUCGCUCAAACGAUGACUAAUGAUAG